AUUGCAGGGUCAGAGCAUGGGUGUGUGGUCAAGGUCAGCUAUAGUAGAUACUGUAAUACUGUUUUCCAAAGUGGUGCCAUCAUUUUACAUUUUCCCUAGCAAAGUGUGAGCGUUUUCGUCUCCCCACAUACUCAACUGUACUUGGUAAUUUGCACUUUUUAAAUUUUAGCUAUUCUGGUUGUUUUGUAAUGGCAUCUCAUUGUUUUUCAUUUGCGUUUUUUUUGAAUGAGUAAACAGGGGAGCAUCUUCAAAUGUUUAUCAGCCAUUGAAGACUUUUAUGCCAGAGCAUGGCACAACCAUAUUUGCAUUCUAAGAAAUCCUCUCCAGCUUCUGGUGUGGAAUAAAUAGGGUUUCCAAAUGUUUUAUUUGCAGAUGACUCAGAAACGAAACAAUGCAAAGACCUAGCUAAGUAUUACAUUGGUGGUGACAGAAUUCUCAGCAAUGCAGAGACCUUUAGAGACUGCUUGCCUGGCUGGCGGGAUAAAGUGUUUCAGAAGAUGUUCUAAUGACCUGCUCUUUCUAUGGCUUAUCUUCAUUCGGAUUUCGGAAAGGAUUCAAAUCCUGUGGGAAUCCAAAGGAUUAUCCAGGAUCUUAAGUGCAUUCACGCUGAGAGGGCCCUGCCCCAAAGCUGGCAAGUCUGAGAGCGCUUCCUGCAGCCUGAGGAGCAGUGAGGGAUGCGUGACAGACGAGGGAGGAGAGAGGCUGGCAGCCUGAUUCCUGGCAGAAGCUGGAACAAGCUACGGCCAUCUGCGGCCACCAUUUUCUUUCAUAUUUUUUAUUCUUUUAGGUAAGCCAAAAAUGACCAUCUCCUUUGAAGGCAUAAAGACUGAUCUUAGCUAGGGCACUCUAGCUAUCCCUACCCCUAGCUUUCAACAAGGGAAGUAUGCUCCUAAGUGACCUGAGACCUCUAUCCCAAGACCGGUAUGGCAGAUGCCAAUCAUUAUGUGGUGUCCUGUCCCCAGAAUCCAUAUUGGAAUGGAAGAUGUGGCAUGGCAGCUCUGUCUAUGAAUUCUUUCCUGGAGUCUCUCUCCUGGGGAGAGCGUCUUCUUCCCCUGACCUGGCUGUCCAGAGCACUCCAGCCUAACCGACCUCAUCAGGCUCAUGCAGGCUGGGCAAAAGAAGGACCCUUGGGAGUGUCAUUAGCUGUUCCCUGAAAUGUUCCUGAGUCAUGUGGAAUGUUCCAUGGUUUAGGUCUCACAGGAUUCCUUGGUGUCUAUUAACAGAGCAGCAGCAUUUUUAUGUCUCUGGGACACAUUUUUUCCCAGUGAGCUGGUUUCUUAUGGGCAAUUCCCAUGAUGCUAUGACAUCUAUCUCUAAUGCCGGCAAAGAUGGGCUUGUUUAUUGAAAUUGGGAAUAUUACAAUAAGCUCCCACACUUGCACUCUUGAGUUUCUCUCAGAAUUUCCUGUUUGAUCCAGAUGUUUUCCUCUAAGAAUUUUCCAAAUGUAAAGAGAGCCAAAUUUCACCUGGUGACAUUUGUUUUCUAUCUAAUCAAUAUCCUCCAGCUGAGGGCUUAAGUUGUGUUUCUUGAAACCUCAAAUUCCCAUUCAGCUUUUCACAGCCAUUGUGAGUCUAGGUAAGAGGGAAGAAAGAUGGAGAUGGGAUACCAACACGUGUGGGGAACGAUGUUCCUUCUGAGUACAAAUUCUUGAUAAUCAAGAAAUUUCAAAGCCACGAUAUGGUUUUCAGAGGUAGUUAAAGCUGGACUGGAAUGUCUGCAUGUGUGAUAUUAGGUAAGUUACUUAGACAUCGUGUAAAAUGCAAUGAAGAGUAUCUAUUUCAUAUCUAACUCAUAGUUUUUCAAGGAGUGAAGCCUCCAGCAUAAUGUCUAGCAGACACUUGGUAAAUAUUGAUUUCUUUUAUCUUUCUAUAUCUACGAUUACUUCCCUAGGGCAGAAUCUUAGAAAGGAAAUUACUGAGAAAAAGCAUGCAAAUAUUUUUUAUAGAAUCUCAAAGCUAAUUACUUUUCAAAAAUCAUACUGUGAUAAAAGCAAUGUUUGUGAGUGUCCAUCUCGCCACAUGUUUGCCAACACUGAGCAAAAAAAUCCUGUCAGCUGUUCCAUUGUUCUAUUCUCACCACUUUGAUAGCAACUGCAGUUGAAUAUUUUUUCAUAUCUUUUUAACACUCAAGAGACUUCUGGGUUACUUUGCCUUUUGUAUACUGGGACACUUUAUCUUCUAGAUACUGGGACUUACAUAAUACUUAAUCUUCCAUAAGCUCUCAUUUCAAAAUGUUGUUACCAAAACAGUCUCAUUGUGCUCAUUGUUUAACAUGAAUAUGUUAUAAAUGUGAAUAUGUAAAAUAAAUCUUCAUGAAGAAAA